rnacentral:rRNA from 1 species
AUUGAACGCUGGCGGCAGGCCUAACACAUGCAAGUCGAGUGAGCGGCGGACGGGUGAGUAAUGUAUGGGGACUGCCCGAUGGAGGGGGAGAACUACUGGGAACGGUGGCUACUACCGCAUACUAUCGGAUAACCCAUAUGGGAUUAGCUAGGAGGUGGGGUAAAGGCUCACGUGGGCGAGGAUCUCGAGCUGGACGGAGAGGAUGAUCAGCCACACUGGGACGGAGACAAGACCCAGAUGGCUUCGGAGGCAGCAGUGGGGAAUAUUGCACAAUGGGCGCAAGCCUGAUGCAUCCAUGCCGCGUGUAUGAAGAAGGACUUAGGGUUGUAAAGUAAUUUCAGCGGGGAGGCGUUACCCGCAGAAGAAGCACCGGCUAACUACGUGCCAGCAGCCGCGGUAAUAC